rnacentral:rRNA from 1 species
CCUACGGGAGGCAGCAGUGAGGAAUAUUGGUCAAUGGCCGUAAGGCUGAACCAGCCAAGUAGCGUGAGGGAAGACUGCCCUAUGGGUUGUAAACCUCUUUUAUGCGGGGAUAAAGGUGUCCACGUGUGGAUGUUUGCAGGUACCGCAUGAAUAAGGACCGGCUAAUUCCGUGCCAGCAGCCGCGGUAAUACGGAAGGUCCGGGCGUUAUCCGGAUUUAUUGGGUUUAAAGGGUGCGCAGGCGGAUUUUUAAGUCAGCGGUAAAAUCGUGGGGCUCAACCCCAUACAGCCGUUGAAACUGGGGAUCUAGAGUGUGCGAGAGGUAUGCGGAAUGCGUGGUGUAGCGGUGAAAUGCAUAGAUAUCACGAAGAACCCCGAUUGCGAAGGCAGCCUGCCGAAGCGUUACUGACGCUGAAGCUCGAAAGCGCGGGUAUCGAACAGGAUUAGAUACCCUGGUAGUC